CCUACGGGAGGCUGUAGUGGGGAAUAUUGCACAAUGGGGGGAACCCUGAUGCAGCGACGCCGCGUGAGUGAAGAAGUCUUUACGUGUGGAAAGCCCUAUCAGCAGGGAAGCAAGUGACGGUACCUGAUUAAGCCCCCCCAGCUCACGACGUGCCAGCAGCCGCGGUAAUACGUAGGGGGCAAGCGUUAACCGGGUUUAAUGGGUGUAAAGGGGGCGUAGACGGCAGCACAAGUCUGGCGUGAAGUGCCCGGGCUUAACCCCGGAACUGCCGUGGAAACUGUGGAGCUAGAGUGCAGGAGAGGUAAGUGGAAUGCCUAGUGUAGCGGUGAAAUGCGUAGAUAUUAGGAGGAACACCAGUUGCGAAGGCGGCUUACCGGACUGCAACUGACGCUGAGGCACGAAAGCGUGGGGAGCGAACAGGAUUAGAUACCCGUGUAGUC
rnacentral:rRNA from 1 species